GGAUAACCCGGGGAAACCCGGCCUAAUACCCCAUGCCGCCCGGACCGGGCAUCCGGUCCGGGCGAAAGGAGGAAUCCGGUGGCGGCUGGGCAUGCGGCGCAUUAGCUUGACGGCGGGGUAACGGCCCACCGUGGCGACGAUGCGUAGGGGUUCUGAGAGGAAGGCCCCCCACACUGGAACUGAGACACGGUCCAGACUCCUACGGGAGGCAGCAGUGAGGAAUAUUGGUCAAUGGGCGGAAGCCUGAACCAGCCAAGUCGCGUGAGGGAAUAAGGCCCUACGGGUCGUAAACCUCUUUUGCCGGGGAGCAAUGGCCGGGACGCGUCCCGGCCCGGAGAGUACCCGGAGAAAAAGCAUCGGCUAACUCCGUGCCAGCAGCCGCGGUAAUACGGAGGAUGCGAGCGUUAUCCGGAUUUAUUGGGUUUAAAGGGUGCGUAGGCGGGCUUUUAAGUCAGCGGUAAAAAUUCGGGGCUCAACCCCGUCCGGCCGUUGAAACUGGGGGCCUUGAGUGGGCGAGAAGAAGGCGGAAUGCGUGGUGUAGCGGUGAAAUGCAUAGAUAUCACGCAGAACCCCGAUUGCGAAGGCAGCCUUCCGGCGCCCUACUGACGCUGAGGCACGAAAGUGCGGGGAUCGAACAGGAUUAGAUACCCUGGUAGUCCGCACAGUAAACGAUGGAUGCCAGCUGUCCGGGCCGAAUGGGGCCUGGGU
rnacentral:rRNA from 1 species